rnacentral:rRNA from 1 species
GACGAACGCUGGCGGCGUGCUUAACACAUGCAAGUCGAACGGAAAGGCCCUGCUUUUGUGGGGUGCUCGAGUGGCGAACGGGUGAGUAACACGUGAGUAACCUGCCCUUGACUUUGGGAUAACUUCAGGAAACUGGGGCUAAUACCGGAUAGGAGCUCCUGCUGCAUGGUGGGGGUUGGAAAGUUUCGGCGGGUGGGGAUGGACUCGCGGCUUAUCAGCUUGUUGGUGGGGUAGUGGCUUACCAAGGCUUUGACGGGUAGCCGGCCUGAGAGGGUGACCGGCCACCUUGGGACUGAGAUACGGCCCAGUGUCCUACGGGAGGCAGCAGUGGGGAAUAUUGCACAAUGGGCGGAAGCCUGAUGCAGCAACGCCGCGUGCGUGAUGACGGCCUUCGGGUUGUAAACCGCUUUCGCCUGUGACGAAGCGUGAGUGACGGUAAUGGGUAAAGAAGCACCGGCUAACUACGUG